AUUGAACGCUGGCGGCAGGCUUAACACAUGCAAGUCGAGCGGUAGAGGGGAGCUUGCUUCCCUUGAGAGCGGCGGACGGGUGAGUAAUGCCUAGGAAUCUGCCUGGUAGUGGGGGACAACGUUCGGAAACGGACGCUAAUACCGCAUACGUCCUACGGGAGAAAGUGGGGGAUCUUCGGACCUCACGCUAUCAGAUGAGCCUAGGUCGGAUUAGCUAGUCGGUAGGGUAAAGGCCUACCAAGGCGACGAUCCGUAACUGGUCUGAGAGGAUGAUCAGUCACACUGGAACUGAGACACGGUCCAGACUCCUACGGGAGGCAGCAGUGGGGAAUAUUGGACAAUGGGCGCAAGCCUGAUCCAGCCAUGCCGCGUGUGUGAAGAAGGUCUUCGGAUUGUAAAGCACUUUAAGUUGGGAGGAAGUUCAGUAAGUUAUACCUUGCUGAAUUGACGUUACCGACAGAAUAAGCACCGGCUAACUCUGUGCCAGCCGCCGCCGUAA
rnacentral:rRNA from 1 species